CCUACGGGGGGCAGCAGUGGGGAAUAUUGGACAAUGGGGGGAACCCUGAUCCAGCCAUGCCGCGUGUGUGAAGAAGGCCCUCGGGUUGUAAAGCACUUUCAGUGAGGAAGAACGCCUGGUGGUUAAUACCCAUCAGGAAAGACAUCACUCACAGAAGAAGCACCGGCUAACUCCGUGCCAGCAGCCGCGGUAAUACGGAGGGUGCGAGCGUUAAUCGGAAUUACUGGGCGUAAAGCGCGCGUAGGUGGCUUGAUAAGCCGGUUGUGAAAGCCCCGGGCUCAACCUGGGAACGGCAUCCGGAACUGUCAAGCUAGAGUGCAGGAGAGGAAGGUAGAAUUCCCGGUGUAGCGGUGAAAUGCGUAGCGAUCGGGAGGAAUACCAGUGGCGAAGGAGGCCUUCUGGACUGACACUGACACUGAGGUGCGAAAGCGUGGGUAGCACACAGGAUUAGAUACACUUGUAGUA
rnacentral:rRNA from 1 species